rnacentral:rRNA from 1 species
GAAGCGGCAAGAGCCCAAAUUUGAAAUCGGGCAACCGAGUUGUAAUUUGGAGACGGGACACUAGAGAGGAGGAAGGCGAUUAAGUGCCUUGGAACAGGCUGCCGUAGAGGGUGAGAGCCCCGUGAAUCGCUGGAGACCGAUCAAUUAGUGCCCGCCGAAGAGUCGAGUUGUUUGGGAAUGCAGCUCUAAGUGGGUGGUAUAUUCCAUCUAAGGCUAAAUAUUAGCGAGAGACCGAUAGCAAACAAGUACAGUGAUGGAAAGAUGAAAAGAACUUUGGAAAGAGAGUGAAAUAGUACGUGAAAUUGUUGAAAGGGAAGGGUAUUUGAUCCGACAUGGUGUUUAGCAGCGGCCCGUUCCUCGUGGAUGGGUGCACCUGGUUUACACUGGGCCAGCAUCGGUUCUGGGAGCCAUAUACGGGGUUCGUGAAUGUGGCCCUUCGAUUCUGUCGGAGGGUGUUAUAGCGCGGACAUCUUGUGGCUAGCCGGGACCGGGGACUGCGGUG